AAAGUCGUAACAAGGUUUCCGUAGGUGAACCUGCGGAAGGAUCAUUAAUGAAGAAAGUUGGGAAGGGGGGUUGUCGCUGGCUUUUUUAGAGCAUGUGCACGCCUUCUUAAACUCCUUUACCACCUGUGCACCUUUUCUUUGUAGACCCACAUCAAGAAGGAUUUGCCAGCCUUCUUUUUAGGUUGGCUUACCUUGCCCUUUUGGUGUCUAUGUAUUUUUCUUAAACACAGUUUUGAAUGUCAAUCUAGAAAAAGGGCCUUGUGUUCUUUUGAAAUCUAUACAACUUUCAACAACGGAUCUCUUGGCUCUC
rnacentral:misc_RNA from 1 species